GGAGGUAUACUUUAAAAAAGAAGACUUGGUUUGCAACCAAACAGUAGAGCUUUUCUUACCCCCA
rnacentral:tRNA from 1 species